rnacentral:lncRNA from 1 species
GAGAGAGCCCUCUUUCAUCUCCCGGGAGGAGGAGCCCGGAUCGGCGCGGACCCCGAAGGGGCCGGGCGCCGGGGGAGUCACCGGGCUGCAGGCUCUAAGCUGCGCGCCGAACGCUCUCCCACCCGCGAUCGCGCCAAACUCGGCGCUUCCCAGGCAAGGAGCGAGAUAGCCUUCCAUUAACACCAGCGAAUAAGACAGAGGGCAGAAAACGCCAGAAGCAGUUAAAAGCACUUGCUGCUCUGCAGAGGACCAGGCUCCUGUCAGGUUCCCCACAUGGUCGCUUUCAACAGUCUGUAACUCCAGUUCCAGGAGCACCAGGCACAAACAUGGUGUACACGUGCAGGGGAUGGUAUGUGGUGCUGGGAUUGAACCUGGGACCUUGUGCAUGCUGGUGUGUUUGCCUGCACAUAUGUAUGUGCAUCACAUGUGUGCCUGAUACCCAUGGAAAUCAGAAGAAGGUGUCACACCCCCUGAAACUGAAGUUAUAGCUGUUGUGAGCUGCUGUGUAGAUGCUGGAAACUGAACUCAGGGUCCUCCAUGAGAGCAGCAAGUGCUGAGCAUCUCUCCAUCCCAUGACUGCUAUAUUAACUAAUUUAUUUGGAUUAAUUUCAUUUACUUAUUUACUUAGAGACAUGGUCUCAUAUAGCUAAGGCUGGCCUUGAUUGAUUCGUGUUUUGUUUUGAGACAAGAUCUCUAUGUGGUCCAGGCUGAUCUUGAAGUCAUGACAAGCCUACCUCCUCUCUGCCUCCUGAGUGCUGGAAUUAUACAAAUGAGCCAUCGUGUCUGGUUCCAUGAAGUGUUAGAUAGACAGUUUAAGGACUUUGGCCAAUGUUAUACUGGUACUGCUAUUAUAAGCUAUUGCCUCUCAACCUUCAUGACUGCCUUUGGAGGCUCCUGGAGGGGCUGGCUCCCUUCUGUGAUGCUCCCUAACAGUGUGACAGUAUCAUUUCUAGCAAGAGUGUAUGUUCCCUUUUUCAAGUUUUAAGGAAAUCAGUCUCAAACUUGCAGCAGUCCCCCUGCUUCUGCCUCCUCAGCCCUGGCACUGUAGACAUAUGCCUUGUGUUAAGUACACACAAGCCAUCCUGUGCGAGAAAAGCAGCAGAUCCAAAGCCAACCUUUUAGGCUUAGGAGACUGGAAAGAGAGAAGUAAAGCUAUUCCAGAGGAAGUGGAGCCUGGAAGGAGUCUACGGGGAAGAAGAUUCUUGGAGCAGAAAGUUGUCCUAUAAUUAAACCCCUGCACAUGUUAACAGUUCUGCAUUUAAAACCUACACAGCCACCAUCAAUUAGAUUAGCAUAUGACCACUUCUAAGACUUUUAAAUCCCUAAAUUUGCUGUGUUAGGAGUUGCUGCUCAAAUUUACUUCCUGACACAUUUCUCCAUCUGAUCAGUAACUCGACGAAGAGUUCUGCUGUUCAGGUUUUGCACGCUUCUCCACAUUUCGCCGUUUCCCUUGAGUUUCCGUUGGAUUUUGAUCUUGACCCCUUUCAUCUUUAUUAGUUCUUAUUAUGCAAAUGUAAAUCAUCUACUGUAAGACAGUAAUGCAUGAAUAAAGAAAAUCUCUGC